CUCCUCUUAUAGGAGAGCGGAGGAGCAAAGCAGCUGCUCUUUCCCGCGGAGGAAUCCUUGGCCACAGCGCGAUAGCUGUGAUAUUGGUGGCCAAGCUUCCGGCUUAGGGGGCGAUGAGGGUUCUGGAAACUUUAGAAUCCACAGCUGGGCAACACCACCUUCAUUAAGACCAAACAAAACUCCGCAAAGCAAGCUUUCAAGCUCUCCAGAAGUCUUUCUGAAGCUAAAUGUUACAAAGUACCCCCCCAAAAAAAAAGUCCAAAAGUUAGGCUGGGUGUUUAAGCCAUGAGACCUGCAUUUUUAGACCCAGUUCGAGGGUGGAGAUUGCAAACAUUCAGUGGGCUGUGCACACACGUCAUACCAUAAAAGCACAUUCGUUCCAUCAGAUAACUGGGCACUGUAGUUAAGAGUUGCUGGGAGUUGUAUCCCUCCUUCUUUUCUGCAAAUGAGCUUUGGAUGUGAAGUGACAGAGAAGAGGGAGUUUAAGCAUGUGCAGAGUGUCUUUCCUUCUCUCUAAUCAGUGACUGAAGAGUAACCUUUGUGGAUACAAUGACUGCAUUUUUCUUUACUUCUCUGCCUCACAAGCAAGCCAGUACAGUAUGCUCCAAUAAGCUGGGUCUUAAAAUGGCACUCCCCACACCGGUUAUCUGUGUGGAAUGUUUGCUGAAUUGCAAAUGACACCCCUCCCAUAGCACCAAGCGCCCUGGGUGAUCUUAAGCCAAGCACAGUAUCUCUCAGCCUCAAUUCCCUCUCAGAGUUGUUGUGACGAUAAAAUGGGUGUAUCAUGCCCAGGUGGUGUAGACAGAAUGUAGUGGGAUGUACACAGAAAAGGGACAACGCUCCCACCAGUGUGGAAAGUCAAUUGCAAUUCUGCUUGUCACUUGCAAUGGAAGAACGAUGAUUGGGUAGACUAGGAGCUACCUUGUCCAGAAGCAGCCAGGCUUAAUAUGCUCCUUUUUCAGCCAUAGACACAAAAGCAACAUCCAUUCAAUUAAAAUCCAAAUGCAAUAACAACCACAACCAACAUAAAACUCAAAUAUCCACAACGUGCUAUCAAUUUACAUAUCACAAGGAUACAAUAUUUAAGGAGAAUAUUGUUCUCUUUUCAAAAGUGAGCACACAUUGCUUGUUUGCCCCAUAUUGGUUAUUUGGAACAUCCUGAGAGAAUGGAGCAAGCUCAAGAAAGAGCUGCUGGUGGCACUUUAGAGAGUCCCUAAUUUUGCAGGAGCUUGUGAGAUCUUACCAGCUGGUAUCAAAAACAACACAGGCUUUUGUGGUUCCUUUAAAUGUUAACAAAUUAUUGUUUUUAUCAUGAAUAAUAAUUUAUUAUCAUUCAUGGAUUAUGGUCCACUUAAUCAAUGCGGCUAAACGGAAGCUGCUGAACCAUUAGACUUGGACUGGAGAUUGGGAGCAGCUCUGCCUGACUGCGGAAAGUAAUUAGGUGUGCAUAAACACUAUUCAUCUUGUUUUGCCCAUUCAUUCCUUACAUGGCUGGCAGUAGAUCACACAGACGCUUGAUUGUAUAUUUUACUCCCUUCUGUAGACCUUGUUUGCAUUAAAUUUUGCAUAGUGAUGGCUUUUGCAUUGAUGUGUCUUCUGCCCUCACUUAGUAACAGUUAAUACACACGAUUAUUCUUUCUGUUGUGUGUGUGUUUGUAAUUUGCCAAGUUACAGUACUUUGUGUAUCUAAUUAAACAGGUUUUGAUCCACAGAAGCUUAUAACACACGUUUGGUCUCCAGUCAGGAGGAGCUGCAGCCAUUCUUUCUGAGGUAUCUGGCUCAGGGAAACAUAUUCCCCUAGUAGGCAAGUAGGAAGAGAAGAUUAAGGUUCCUUUUGCUCCCCUUCAGCAGUUGAAGAACACAUGACUAAGACUUGUUGAACAGUUACAGGUCAGCUUGGGGGUUAAAAGAAGUGGCGGGCUCAGCUCUACAGCGCCCCUUUCAUCAUGGCAGGAAAGGGGACUGCAGCCCAGCUGAAUCAAAUGGCUUGGAUAACCAACGAGAUUAUAUAAUGCAUCUGAAUCUUACUCUGAGCAGGUUGUUGCUGGGAGCAGUAGUACAACUCUUGGAAGUUCACUGCCUGCCUCUGAUGUUUUGUCUACCCAUUCCAAAAUCUACCUGCCUGCCUUGGCCCACAUCUGUUUGGGCCCCUUGGAUCCAUAGUUAUUCUCAUGGACUUGACCCAAACUUAGUUAAGUUGUUUGGCUUCUACCAC